rnacentral:rRNA from 1 species
AGACCCGAAACCCGGUGAUCUAGCCAUGGGCAGGUUGAAGGUUGGGUAACACUAACUGGAGGACCGAACCGACUAAUGUUGAAAAAUUAGCGGAUGACCUGUGGCUGGGGGUGAAAGGCCAAUCAAACCGGGAGAUAGCUGGUUCUCCCCGAAAGCUAUUUAGGUAGCGCCUCGUGAAUUCAUCUCCGGGGGUAGAGCACUGUUUCGGCUAGGGGGCCAUCCCGGCUUACCAACCCGAUGCAAACUGCGAAUACCGGAGAAUGUUAUCACGGGAGACACACGGCGGGUGCUAACGUCCGUCGUGAAGAGGGAAACAACCCAGACCGCCAGCUAAGGUCCCAAAGUCAUGGUUAAGUGGGAAACGAUGUGGGAAGGCCCAGACAGCCAGGAUGUUGGCUUAGAAGCAGCCAUCAUUUAAAGAAAGCGUAAUAGCUCACUGGUCGAGUCGGCCUGCGCGGAAGAUGUAACGGGGCUAAACCAUGCACCGAAGCUGCGGCAGCGACACUCAGGUGUUGUUGGGUAGGGGAGCGUUCUGUAAGCCUGCGAAGGUGGCCUGUGAGGGUUGCUGGAGGUAUCAGAAGUGCGAAUGCUGACAUAAGUAACGAUAAAGCGGGUGAAAAGCCCGCUCGCCG